AAGUCGUAACAAGGUUUCCGUAGGUGAACCUGCGGAAGGAUCAUCACGAGAGGACGCCGCAAGGCGCACCACAACACUGUGUUGCCGAGCGAUGAGUGCAGUCAGCGCGAGCGCGCAGCGCGAACGCUGCUGCACACGUCUAUUGACACCAUGCAAACUGAAUCAGCCCUAAUAGCAACCAACAACAAACACAACUGUUAGCAACGGAUCACUUGGUUCUC
rnacentral:misc_RNA from 1 species